GAUGAACGCUAGCGGCAGGCCUAACACAUGCAAGUCGAACGGUAACAGGAAGAGCUUGCUCUUUGCUGACGAGUGGCGCACGGGUGCGUAACGCGUAUGCAACUUACCCCUAACAGGAGGAUAGCCUUUAGAAAUGAAGAAUAAUACUCCAUAAUAUAUAUUGAUGGCAUCAUUAAUAUAUUAAAGCUCCGGCGGUUAGGGAUGGGCAUGCGUCCUAUUAGUUAGUUGGCGAGGUAACGGCUCACCAAGACAUCGAUAGGUAGGGGGUCUGAGAGGAUUAUCCCCCACACUGGUACUGAGACACGGACCAG
rnacentral:rRNA from 1 species